rnacentral:rRNA from 1 species
ACACAUGCAAGUCGAACGGUAGAGGGGGCAACCCUUGAGAGUGGCGAACGGGUGAGUAAUAUAUCGGAACGUGCCCAGUCGUGGGGGAUAACGUAGCGAAAGCUACGCUAAUACCGCAUACGAUCUACGGAUGAAAGCGGGGGAUCGCAAGACCUCGCGCGAUUGGAGCGGCCGAUAUCAGAUUAGGUAGUUGGUGAGGUAAAGGCUCACCAAGCCGACGAUCUGUAGCUGGUCUGAGAGGACGACCAGCCACACUGGGACUGAGACACGGCCCAGACUCCUACGGGAGGCAGCAGUGGGGAAUUUUGGACAAUGGGCGCAAGCCUGAUCCAGCAAUGACGCGUGCAGGAUGAAGGCCUUCGGGUUGUAAACUGCUUUUGUACGGAACGAAACGGUGAGCUCUAAUACAGUUUGCUAAUGACGGUACCGUAAGAAUAAGCACCGGCUAACUACGUG